rnacentral:rRNA from 1 species
CCUACGGGAGGCAGCAGUGAGGAAUAUUGGUCAAUGGACGAGAGUCUGAACCAGCCAAGUAGCGUGAAGGAUGACUGCCCUAUGGGUUGUAAACUUCUUUUAUAUGGGAAUAAAAUGUUCCACGUGUGGGAUUUUGUAUGUACCAUAUGAAUAAGGAUCGGCUAACUCCGUGCCAGCAGCCGCGGUAAUACGGAGGAUCCGAGCGUUAUCCGGAUUUAUUGGGUUUAAAGGGAGCGUAGGUGGAUUGUUAAGUCAGUUGUGAAAGUUUGCGGCUCAACCGUAAAAUUGCAUUUGAAACUGGCAGUCUUGAGUACAGUAGAGGUGGGCGGAAUUCGUGAUGUAGCGGUGAAAUGCUUAGAUAUCACGAAGAACUCCGAUUGCGAAGGCAGUUCACUGGACUGCAACUGACACUGAGGCUCGAAAGUGUGGGUAUCAAACAGGAUUAGAUACCCUAGUAGUC